rnacentral:pre_miRNA from 1 species
UAUGUACUCCCUCCGUCCGGAAAUACUUGUCAUCAAAAUGAAUAAAAGGCGAUGUAUCUAGAUGUAUUUUAGUUCUAGAUACAUCCUUUUUUGUUUAUUUUGAUGACAAGUAUUUUCGGACGGAGGGAGUAGAUG